GCGGAAAAAGGGGAAGGGAAGAAGGAAAAGGAAGGAAAGAAGGGAGGCAAGGACGGAGGGAGAGAGAAGCAGAGGGAAGGAGGAAGAAGGGUCUAUUGGGCCUCCCAGUAUUGGACCCAGGCAGGGUCUCCUCCCCGCCCCCUCCCCUCGGGUCCUGGACACUGCCAUCAGAUGUUCAGGGGAUGCUGCUAGGAUCCUGAUGCGGAGCCCAAAUCCUCUGACCCUUCAAAGAAAGGCUGAAAGAGUUUAAAUCCACAUUCAUGGAGAAAAUACUUGCAACAUGAGAUCACAGAUAUGCUUAAGGGCCAGUGCUCUAUGCACUGCACCAUCUAGCUGCCCCUCUCAGAUGAUAGAGGAAACAAUGAAAGAAAUUUCCACCUUGGAUUUAAUUUUAACCAACAAAGAAGAGCCACAUGGUAAAGUGGAACUGAUGAAAGCCUUAAUCACCAGGCACCAUGCAAAACACUUUGAAAAUGGGAUGUCGUUUAGGGGAAGCAACAUCUAAAGAAACUAACAUGGCUACCUAUAGAGCUUUCCAAUAAAUUUGAAUUUUCAAAGGACAUCUGCAAAAGACAAAAGAAGGAUGAUUAUGAAAGCUUAGCGUGAAUUGUAACAUAAAUGUCUUCAACCUGGGUUCAAAAAAUCAACUUCACAAAUAUAGGAUUGAAAUGGUAUGGCUUAACAGUAGUUUGAAAAAGAUAUGAGGGUUUCAGUGGACUGCAAGCUCAGUGGAAGUUAGUAGUGUGAUGUGACAUCUAACAAAGUGUAACAAUUGGAAUGAUGCCACCUGCUGGAGACUUACUGUAGUAGGGCUCCACCAUGAGGAGAAGGCCUCUGAGGGCAAGACCAUGCGACUUUUCUUUGGCAUCAGGA